rnacentral:tmRNA from 1 species
GGGGGCGACCUGGCUUCGACGUGUGAACUGGAAGCCGCGGAAGCGUGCCGAGGUGCUCGGGGCCUCGUUAAACACCGAGAAAACUUUUUAGAUGCCGACGACGGUUUGGCUCUGGCUGCGUAACUUUACGUAGCCCGUCCCUAGGAGGGCUGGGCCCGAGGAACUCCUAGCGGGCGACGAUAAAUCGGGCUGGUCACCAAAGCGUGUCGCAAGCAGAGGUGACGAGAUUGCGGUGGUAGCCGCGUUGCGACUGGUCGGCGACGGGGAGUUCGUGACCCUGGCGCGGAUGAGAAACUGAUCGCGAACUACGCACGUAGAGGCCGUGGUGGAUGGGCUCGCGGACGCGGGUUCGAUUCCCGCCGCCUCCA